GAUGAACGCUGGCGGCGUGCCUAAUACAUGCAAGUCGAGCGAAUGGAUUAAGAGCUUGCUCUUAUGAAGUUAGCGGCGGACGGGUGAGUAACACGUGGGUAACCUGCCCAUAAGACUGGGAUAGCUCCGGGAAACCGGGGCUAAUACCGGAUAACAUUUUGAACCGCAUGGUUCGAAACUGAAAGGCGGCUUCGGCUGUCACUUAUGGAUGGACCCGCGUCGCAUUAGCUAGUUGGUGAGGUAACGGCUCACCAAGGCAACGAUGCGUAGCCGACCUGAGAGGGUGAUCGGCCACACUGGGACUGAGACACGGCCCAGACUCCUACGGGAGGCAGCAGUAGGGAAUCUUCCGCAAUGGACGAAAGUCUGACGGAGCAACGCCGCGUGAGUGAUGAAGGCUUCCGGGUCGUAAAACUCUGUUGUUAGGGAAGGACAAGUGCUAGUUGAAUAAGCUGGCACCUUGACGGUACCUAACCAGAAAGCCACGGCUAACUACGUGCCAGCCGCCGCCGUAAUAC
rnacentral:rRNA from 1 species